UUACGACCACAUCACGUUGAAACAUCGGUUCCCGUGCGAAUCACUGAAGUUAAGCAAAGUGAUCAGUACCGGGAUGGGUGACUGUUUGGGAAUAUCAGAUGCUGUAAG